rnacentral:lncRNA from 1 species
GCUGUGAGAAAUUUUGGCCAGAUUAGAAAGGCUUUGUUACCCGUAAUUUGGAAUUCUCACUCAGAUUGGAUCAAGUCUGGUAACAAGAGUGAGAUUCCAUCUCAAAAAAAAAAAAAAAAGUUCAAUUGCCCACUUAGGAUGGAAAGCAGGCUUUUGUGGAUGCAAAGUCCAAUCAGAGUUCGAGGCACUGCUUUCUAGGAGAGGUUCUCGGGAGGGACAGCUUGACUAAUACAAUGGAGAUCCAUGAAGAUAUGUGAGGUCUCUUGCUGCUAGAGAGCGGUGCCAGUGUUAUGAGACAAGGCUUCAAAAACAGCUUCAAGGCUUCCAGAGAGUGGCCUCGCCGCAUCCUAAGCUCUCCAAGCGUCUGUCAGAAUCCUGGGAUUCUAUGUGUUUUGGAGUCCUGUGGUUGAGGUCAGUAGCUCCCAGGCAGGGUUGAUAAGGUGUGACAUAACAUUCCCUUGGCUAGGGAGAGUUCCCUGCAUGUUCUAAUCACAGUAAAACAAUAUCACUCUCACAGCAAAGUGAAAGUGUUUGGAAUCAUUUAAAGCUACAUAACAAAAUCCCAAGGAAUUGGAGGGGAGGGCUGGGAAGAGUCAAAUAGGGAAGGAGGGAAAGAGAAUGGCAUCCAAGGGUGUAUUCGUGAGUUGAUCAAGUUGGUCACUACUAUGGGCAAACAGAAUGCUAUCAUUUUAGGAGCUGCAUAGAACAUAUCUCAGAAUUGCCCACUGGAAGACUGGAAGAGCAGAGUAUUUUUCCUGCAGUUCCUGCCUGCCCUUUGGUCAAAGUUUGUCCUUUGAGGUGUUCCUUUGUACUUCCAGGUUUACUCAUGUGUCAGAGUGGGCAGCGGAUUCCUGCAAGGGUCCCAGAUUGCAGUGCCAGAGACGCAGAAUACCAGGUGCAGCUGAGGCAAGGUGCUCUCAGGUUACACCUGUUCAUAGCUGGUUGUCACAGCAAAGCUGGGCUGGGAAGAUGUAAGGCCAGGUGUGUAAUACAACCUCAGAAAGGUCAAAUGUCCUUUUCU